rnacentral:tRNA from 1 species
GUAAGGUAGGGAUUUUCUCACGCCCGAUUUGAAAUCGGGUGGAUUGUUUUAUUACAAGCUUUAUU